AUUGAACGCUGGCGGCAUGCUUUACACAUGCAAGUCGAGCGGCAGCGCGUCCGACCACCCUCGGGUGGUCGGAUGGCGGCGAGCGGCGGACGGGUGAGGAAUGCAUCGGAAUCUGCCUCGUUGUGGGGGAUAACGUAGGGAAACUUACGCUAAUACCGCAUACGACCUACGGGUGAAAGUGGGGGACCUUCGGGCCUCACGCGAUGAGAUGAGCCGAUGCCGGAUUAGCUAGUUGGCGGGGUAAAGGCCCACCAAGGCGACGAUCCGUAGCUGGUCUGAGAGGAUGAUCAGCCACAUUGGGACUGAGACACGGCCCAAACUCCUACGGGAGGCAGCAGUGGGGAAUAUUGGACAAUGGGGGCAACCCUGAUCCAGCCAUGCCGCGUGAGUGAUGAAGGCCCUAGGGUUGUAAAGCUCUUUCAGUGGGGAAGAUAAUGACUGUACCCACAGAAGAAGCCCCGGCUAACUCCGUGCCAGCAGCCGCGGUAAU
rnacentral:rRNA from 1 species